rnacentral:rRNA from 1 species
UACAGAGGGUGCAAGCGUUGUUCGGAAUUAUUGGGCGUAAAGGGCGCGUAGGCGGUGCCACAAGUCACCUGUGAAAUCUCCGGGCUUAACUCGGAGCCUGCAGGCGAAACUGUGGUGCUGGAGUGUGGGAGAGGUGCGUGGAAUUCCCGGUGUAGCGGUGAAAUGCGUAGAUAUCAAGAGGAACACCUGAGGUGAAGACGGGUUGCUGGGCUGACACUGACGCUGAGGCGCGAAAGCGUGGGGAGCGAACAGG